rnacentral:lncRNA from 1 species
GGAUUUUGGAGUAUCGCUUCCUGCCCCCGCCUUCCCUCCCCGCCCCAUUCUCUGUCCUAUUGAACACCUCGCCCAGCCUAGAGCUCACAUUCUCCCCCUGCUCCCGAUGGCGCUCCUGGAAGCUCUGCAACUAUGCUCCACUUCAAAUGGGGAGGGUAGACCUGAAGCUUUCUUCUUUGUACACACUGACACAAGACUGCUGCUGCAUUGAUUCUUGAGCAAGGCGAACAAUGGAAGAAAGCCACUUUUUGUUGUUAAAGUGAGGUAGCAUUUCUGCUGUAGUUAGAAAGAGCAUUGUCUCUCCAGUGUCCCAAAUCACUUCCAUUAAACAGUCAAUGUGAUAACUGUCUGUGACAUGUUCUAUUAUCUUUCUAGUUGUUCUGAUGUUCCUUUCAGCUGGUCCUAUAGCCCCCUUUCUCAGUAAUGUCUCCCCAGUGAAAGGAAAAAGACUGCAGAGGCUUCAGACUGACGGACGCUCAUGCCAACUGUGAAGUUGAAACAAAGCCAGUGACCAGCUGAAGAGGCCCCUCCUGCCCAGCAGCCACCCACAUGGUGCAGUUGCAGCCAGUAGUAAUCUUUGCAAGAAGCAGAGAAGCCCAGAACACUCAUGAGUCAAAACCAUGCCCUUCCUUGUGUGUAUCCCUGUCUCGUUCAGAUUGAUGCUCCUUCCAUUUGGAUCCUGGUAUGAAUAUGCUUGUUACUGUACGAGUGUAAAAAGCUUUGCCCAAAUGUGUUAAUGUAUGAAGAGACUGGAUUUUUUUUGGGGGGGGGAGAGAGUUAUUUUUAUCAAAACACAGUGUUCGUUCUUGAGAGUGAUCUAGAAAAUAAAAAGCAGUUGGAAAAGACAGCAAAGCAGUCACAGGCGAUCCACAGAGAUGCUCACACCACCACACAGAAACACCACACCAUGCUCCCAGACUCUGAGCAGGGAGCUUGACUCUGUGACAUACUAUGGCUGCUGCCAGGGGUCAACGUCAAGCCAGACAAAGGUGCAGAAGCUUCCUGAAGUGUAGUGAUAAACUGAGUCAGGAGACAAUAAGAACAGCAACGACACAAAAGACAACGUCCUUGGAGGGAGCCAAGUGGGUUUGCUUAAGGAAGGAUGCUCCCUUAAAGAGAGAAUGGGAAAUCAACCUUUAAAGGAUGUAAAAACAAAACUAGAUAAAUGGGAAGAUAGGAGAAAAUAGAGUCCUUAAUGCAAGCAUAAGGGUAAGCAGCAGACGGGCAGAGGAGAUCCACAUGGUGAGUCUUGGAGACUACACAUAUCUCGUCUUGAUUUUGCCUGACACUUGGAACCGCUGUCUGUGUGUCUAGUAGAGAUGCUGCACACAGGUAUCUCCCCUCCCCCACCCCGAAUGUCACCUAAACCAAACUAGAACUAAAGUUCCAGUUCUGUGUCACUACAAAGAUUGGUUGGUGAUUCCUGAAUAGAAGUCAUGAUUCUUCUGUUCGUGAUUGCUUGUUACCAAGUUUAUUCCAUACAGAAAAUGUUUUGCAUAUUAAAUCUCAUGGUUGCUAUGAAAACGACACAUUAUCCACCUUUCACAGGUGAAGGAACUGAUUUUGGUGAGGUUGAGCGCCUGGCCAAGGUGCUACGUGCAGCUAUGCACAUUCAAGGUUGUGGUCAUGAAACUCAGUCCCUAGUCUGACUUUUGUGAUGAGUCCCAACACAGUUGUCACCUUUACCAUAGCCCUUAAUGCCUGUCUACAGAAAGACAUGGCUUUUCUGCUGACUUACAGCCACAGUAUUUCCUACUUCCAUGCUGAAUUAUACCAGAAUGAUAAAACGUAUUUUCAUGGAAGAAAAUUGAGAAUUUAGUGAAAUACACUGCUUGCCAGCAGUUUGUAUGUUUCUUCUUCAUUUUGGUCUGAGACUUUUGAUUUAGUUCUGCAUGAAAUCUCAAAGUUUUAAGAGCAGUAAGGGAAGGGCCUUAAGUUACCUGUUAUAGUACUUUGUGACAGAAGAUGUAAAUCUACAACCUGUAAUCAGAGUGACUUUACAAACAAACAACAAAAAGACACCCCUCCCCACAAAAACUCAAAUCAAACCAACCAACCAAACAACAAAAUAAACAAAACCGCCCACUUAAUUGGAAAUGUCCCAACAAAGACCAGAAACUAAGUCCUCUUUCAAUGGCUUUUAAAUUAUUCCACCCUGUCCUAAAGAAACAUGAACUUGUAUUUGACUAAAGGCACCAAUGUUGCAUAGAUUGGAUCUCAUAAAAUCUAGUUUCUUCCUUCCUUGGUACUCAUGUCAAUGUUAAAUACAGCUAUGAACUAGUGUAUCUAUGUCAAGAAGUUGUCAAUGAUCUGUCCCCAAAGAACACAGAAUAGCCAAUGUUGUAUAUAUACUCCUUCUUUAAUCCAGCCAUGGAGUCAUUAGUUCACCUGCACCAAUCCAAUCCAUUGUGCAUCUUCUCAACCAACCUGACCUAUGGCAAUCAUUUGCAAGUGCUAUAAAUGUUUAUCUAUGACUGUUCCAGAAAUAGUUAGGUAUUAACAAAUACCACUAGUCAUUUUGUGGUGUAAUCUUCAUUUAUCUGUAUCACUAAUUCAAGAAGACUUUGGCCAUAAAAACCUAGAACUAAAAAUCGCAUUCUUGGCUUUCAGCCACUCUACAUUUGAUUGACAUUUCACAGUGAUUAAUAAAUUGUCCAUCUAAAUAACAUAGAUGUCCAGAUUGUGAUUUUUGUCUUGAAUGAGACCGUUAAACUGGGUAGGCUAAGGGACAGAUGUCUAACUUUUUGAGGUACCUGGAUAUUUAACUGAUGUAAUUUUCUACUUAGCUGUUUGACAUUGUUGUAUGUAGUCCUGGUCAUGGCUUUGACUGUUCUCUUUUUUCAAAAUGCUUGUUGGCUCUGUCUUACACUGUUCUCACUGAUCUCAUAAAUAAACAGGUUUGUUGUUAAAGAGUAGCCCAAGCACAAAGUGUGAUGUUGUUGACAUUUUACAAGACUUUCCUUGGUCCCUGACUCCCAAUAAAAGAAAUGUUGCAUUAACUGUGAAAAAAAAAAAAAAAAAA